GUUGGACAGAGACCGUGUGGCUCAUUAAGUCUAAAACGUAUGCUAUCUGUCUCUUUUCAGAAAAACUUUGCGAGUCCCUCUCCUAGGAGAUGGUGGAGCCCAAGCUCGUCGGAACCUGGAGCUCCCAGCUGUCGGGUGACAACCCCCCUGGGGAACAUCCGCAUUAGACAGGGUCUUUGCAGAGAGAGUUGGUACGUUAAGAUGGAGUCACACGGGAUCGGGGAGGGGGCAUCGUCCAACGACCAGUGUCCUUAUACGAGAAAACAGGGACGCAGAGACACACAGACACACGUGAAGACGAGGAUGGAGAUGGGGAGACCCAGCUACCAGCGAAGAAAUGCCUAGGAUCGCCAGCAACCCCCAGAACCUGGGAGAGGCGGGAAGGUCCCCCUCGCAGCCUUCCGAGAGAGAGCAUGGCCCGGCCAAUACCUUGACCUUGAACUUCUGGCCUCUAGGACUGUCAGAGAAUACAUUUCCAUUAUCUUAAGUUUGCGGUCACUGGUUAUGGCCAUCCUGGGACCCAAAUUCGGUGGCCCAUAGAAAAGUCUGGGACUCCACGGCCCCAGAGCUGAGCAGCGUUGAUGGGUCCUUGUUCAUAAUGUCCCUCUGUCCCUCAUAACGUCCCACCCGAAGAGACUGUGAGUCUCAUCCUCCAG
rnacentral:lncRNA from 1 species